UACGAAGGGGCUAGCGUUGCUCGGAAUCACUGGGCGUAAAGGGUGCGUAGGCGGGUCUUAAGUCAGGGUGAAUCCUGGAGCUCAACUCCAGAACUGCUUGAUACUGAAGAUCUUGAGUCCGGAGAGGUGAGUGGAACUGCGAGUGUAGAGGUGAAUCGUAGAUAUCGCAAGAACACCAGUGGCGAAGGCGGCUCACUGGCCCGGUACUGACGCUGAGGCACGAAGCGUGGGAGCAACAGG
rnacentral:rRNA from 1 species